UCCGGUCGUAUCCUCUCCGACUCCACCUUGCAGGUGAGAUUUGCGACAAUGUUUACCAUCAAGGCGCCCUUCUUCCUUCUAUUCUUAUUCGAACAGCAAAGCAUCUAGUAGUGCCCUGCUUAUCUCUUCCUUUCUUGCAGUUCGCUAUGUGAUUCACGGAAAAAAAAUUGUUUUCUAGUGCAGGGAGCAGGGCGGGGAGGCCACGACGACCAUGGCUAGGAUCCCUCGGCCACCGCUGCGCUAGGGGAUGGAUCUGUGCUCUCUCCCUCACCGCUGCCAAACUCCACCCACCGGCGGCUACUACACGCGCGAGUGUCGGGGGAGGCUCUCUCUAGCGCAGGCUAGCAACCACGAGAGGGAGGUACUCUGCUUCUCCACCGACGAACGAGCAGACGACUCCCCAGGCAGUUUGGUGGCCUCCGUUGUGCAGUAGGACUAGGCAUGCCAUGUUGUUCGGCAGUGCUCUUCUGCACUUCAAUGAAUUUGUAAUUUCUGAAGAGAGAAAAAGUGCAAACGAAGCCUGCUAUUGUUUGCUAUUGAGGUUCAUUUUACUCAUUUUUGCAGGGAAAAGAUGAAGUGAUGCAGUUCUAUUGGAUGCCCCGUUACUCAAUUCCGUUGUUAUUCAAGAGUGCACUUCAUUAGUUCAUUGUAAAAACUGCAGCCGUGUAGUCCGCAACCACGGCCAUGCAGCUCAAACAAGCCUGCAAUGAAGUCCCGUCCUGUUUGCCUGGACUGUUGAAGUUUGCCUGGGUCGUCGUUGCAGUACGGUUAGGUGUUGAAAGCUAUUUUUUUGUUGAUUUUUCAGGUUUUCAGAGACUGCACUUCAUUAUAAAAAAGUGGCAUCUAGUUCCCUUUGUAAAAAGCAAUUUUUAUGGCACCCAUUUACUUUGAUAAAUUGUCUGAUGCAGUUUGGAACGCCAAAAAAUUGUAUAAAAUGCACUUCAUUAGUCUCCUCUCGGAGUGAGUGAGGAAAAGACAAAAAUUAUGCAGCUCGCUUGCCCAUCUGAUGCAGUGCGGUUUUCAUUCUGAAGCAGUGCGGAUGGUUGUGUGAUGUUAUUUAUCCCGUAAGUGCAAAAAAUUGUUACGGAAGCGAAAAAAAGUAAUGCGGUUAACUUCUUGAUAGUGUUGUGGUUCAUUUACUCCCGAUGUGAAGUGCACUCUACCUUCUCGUUCUUAAAAAAAAUAUGUUUGAAUAAAAGAAACCAUGCAGUUC
rnacentral:lncRNA from 1 species